GAGAAGGUCACACCCGUUCCCAUCCCGAACACGGUAGUUAAGCUUCUCUGCGCCAAUGGUAGUUGGGGGCUUCCCCCCUGCGAGAGUAGGUCGCUGCCGGGC
rnacentral:rRNA from 1 species